GGUAUAAGAUAGUCCCACAUCGUUAAGCCAAAAAGUUUUCUCUUUCUUCAAGAAGCAAGGGUUCGAUGGAGAUGUUGUCUCUUCGGAGACAUCCGAUAAAAUUGGAACGAUACAGAGAAGAUUAGCAUGGCCCCUGCGCAAGGAUGACACGCACAAAUCGAGAAAUGGUCCAAAUUUUUUUGAUCCCUUGGCUGAGGAUUGAAUUUUAACCUAUUCAGUUUCUCUUGCGUUCAGGUAUGUUUAAAGAUUAGGUGGAUCUAAGGAUUUUUGUCCCUUUAUAGAAAUGAACGAAUGUUGGCUGUUCAUCUCGGGAUUUUAAGUUCGUAACUUCGCGUUCUGUUGAUCUGGAAAAGAUACAGGCUUUGUUGGAUGAUUGUGGCUAUAAACUGAGAAAUGAGUCAACAACCUCCCAUCGAUAACAGGCCUUCCCAAGCUAUAUCUCUCUACAACAACAACAACAACAACAACAACAAAGCCUUAUCCCAACUAAUGGGGUCGGCUACAUGGAUCCACGGUGGACAAGAGACUAGAUGGUCCCAAAGGUCAUGUAUCCUCACUCUGCAACAUUUUCCUAAUAUGCUGAAGAAAGGUGGCCUUCACAAGAUCCACUCUGAACACUUGACAUGCCUUCCAUUCAUGCGCAACAUGGUAGAUUUGUGUAGAUUAUGGGAUGAUUUAAAGGUGUAUUGGAUUUUCCUCCAUCACUUUCGGGUUGUGACAUUGUGGAACUCGUUAAUAACUGUUAGCCUGAGUGAUUCUCCAAUAGCUGCCGCACCUAUGUUUGCGUUCUAGGAAUAUCAUUUUACUUAGCAUCUUCUGCUUCAUAAUAGUUAUUUUUUGUAUUUAGUUAUUCUAUUAUUAUUAUCAUUGUUUAAAGACAGAUGAGUUGAAAAGGAUAUGUAGUUGACUUGGUCCACAUAUGUUGCACGCUAUCAAUGGUGAUGGAUUCAUGAAUCAGAUCUGGUCACUUAGU